rnacentral:lncRNA from 1 species
ACCUGAGUUCGGUUCCCGGGCAUGCUUUUUCUGCUUGGGAGGUGAUAGCUGUGACUACAGGUAUCUACACAGUUGCGUCCAUCACUCUGAGAUUGACAGAUGGUUGGGGAUCCCCUGAUUUUGAGGGGGGAUAAUUGUCAUUCAUGUGCAAGCAAACAAGGGCAACUGCAGUUUUUUUGGAUUUUGUGUCAAAUUACCUCUUGCUGCAUAUAUUCUGUAUGGAGUCUCCUAUACAGGGUUUGGCGUAUUUAACUUCUGAUGGGCAUGUUUGUCUGUCUACAGGGCCCACCCAGCAACCUGCAGCUGCUGUGGACAACACCACAUGCUUUCCCCACCACACAUCAGCACGCAGAGUCAGUGGAAGAUUAAAGCAGUAGUAAGGUGUGUGGCAAAAAACUGCAUUCUAAGUUCCACAUCACAGUCAUUGCAGUUCAUGAUGGUCUGACAAAGGUGCUACUGUAUGCCCCUGCCUGAUUUUUGCUGCAUACAGGCUCACAAGCUGCUUGUGGAGGACUGCUGCUGCAGCAAUGUCUUGUAGUGUCAACUAACGGCGAUAGAGGACUAAUACUAGGCAUGACUACCAGAAGG